GAUGAACGCUGGCGGCGUGCCUAAUACAUGCAAGUCGAGCGAACAGACGAGGAGCUUGCUCCUCUGACGUUAGCGGCGGACGGGUGAGUAACACGUGGAUAACCUACCUAUAAGACUGGGAUAACUUCGGGAAACCGGAGCUAAUACCGGAUAAUAUAUUGAACCGCAUGGUUCAAUAGUGAAAGACGGUUUUGCUGUCACUUAUAGAUGGAUCCGCGCCGCAUUAGCUAGUUGGUAAGGUAACGGCUUACCAAGGCAACGAUGCGUAGCCGACCUGAGAGGGUGAUCGGCCACCCUGGAACUGAGACACGGGCCAGGAUCCUAAGGGGAGCAACAGUAGGGGAAUUUCCGCAAUGGGCGGAAGCCUGACGGAGCAACGCCGCGUGAGGGAAAAAGGUCUUCGGAUCGUAAAACUCUGUUAUUAGGGAAAAACAAAUGUGGAAGUAACUAUGCACGUCUUGACGGUUCCUGAUCAGGAAGCCACGGCUAACUACGUG
rnacentral:rRNA from 1 species